rnacentral:rRNA from 1 species
UACGGGGGAGGUAAGCGUUGUUCGGAAUUACUGGGCGUAAAGGGCUCGUAGGCGGCCAACUAAGUCAUACGUGAAAUCCCUCAGCUUAACUGGGGAACUGCGUGUGAUACUGGAUGGCUUGGAUUUGGGAGAGGGAUGCGGAAUUCCAGGUGUAGCGGUGAAAUGCGUAGAUAUCAGGAGGAACACCGGUGGCGAAGGCGGUCCCCUGGGCCGGAACUGACGCUGAGGCGCGAAAGCGUGGGUAGCAAACGGG